GCUGCCGUAGCUCAGCUGGUAGAGCAGCCGUCUUGUAAGCGGCAGGUCGUCGGAUCGUAGCCGACCGGCAGCUCGA
rnacentral:tRNA from 1 species